rnacentral:rRNA from 1 species
UGGGGAAUUUUGGACAAUGGGCGAAAGCCUGAUCCGGCCAUGCCGCGUGAGUGAAGAAGGCCUUCGGGUUGUAAAGCUCUUUUAGUCGGAAAGAAAGAGUUGCAAUGAAUAAUCGUGAUUUAUGACGGUACCGACAGAAAAAGCACCGGCUAACUACGUGCCAGCAGCCGCGGUAAUACGUAGGGUGCGAGCGUUAAUCGGAAUUACUGGGCGUAAAGGGUGCGCAGGCGGUCUUGCAAGUCAGAUGUGAAAGCCCCGGGCUUAACCUGGGAAUUGCGUUUGAAACUACAAGGCUAGAGUGCAGCAGAGGGGAGUGGAAUUCCAUGUGUAGCAGUGAAAUGCGUAGAGAUGUGGAAGAACACCGAUGGCGAAGGCAGCUCCCUGGGUUGACACUGACGCUCAUGCACGAAAGCGUGGGGAGCAAACA